UUUGGAAUUCCUUCGUUCCAAAAUUCUUGUCUUGAAUUUGUCUAAAUACGGAUGUAUCAAGUCACAUUUUAGUAUUAGAUACAUCUGUAUUUAGGCAAAUUUAAGACAAGAAUUUUAGAACGAAGGGAGUACAUC
rfam:Triticum urartu cultivar G1812 contig620510, whole genome shotgun sequence.